UACAGAGGUCCCGAGCGUUGUUCGGAUUCACUGGGCGUAAAGGGUGCGUAGGUGGUGAGGUAAGUCGGAUGUGAAAUCUCCGGGCUCAACCCGGAAAUGGCAUUGGAAACUACCUUGCUAGAGGAUUUGAGGGGGGAUUGGAAUACUUGGUGUAGCAGUGAAAUGCGUAGAUAUCGCUUGGAACGCCAAAGGUGAAAACAGGUUGCUGGGGAUGAGCUGACACUGAGACGCGAAAGCCAGGGGAGCGAACGGG
rnacentral:rRNA from 1 species